UACGAGUUUGAUCCUGGCUCAGGAUGAACGCUAGCGGCAGGCUUAACACAUGCAAGUCGAGGGACGGUAGCAAUACUGGACCGGCAAACGGGUGCGGAACACGUACGCAACUUACCCCAAACAGGUGAAUAGCCUUCGGAAACGAAGAUUAAUACACCGUAAGAUAUAGGAGUGGCAUCAUUUUUAUAUAAUAGCUCAGGCGGUUUGGGAUGGGCGUGCGCCUGAUUAGGUAGUUGGUGGGGUAACGGCUCACCAAGCCAACGAUCAGUAACUGGUGUGAGAGCACGACCAGUCACACGGGCACUGAGACACGGGCCCGACUCCUACGGGAGGCAGCAGUGAGGAAUAUUGGGCAAUGGACGCAAGUCUGACCCAGCCAUGCCGCGUGAAGGAUGAAGGCGUUCUGCGUUGUAAACUUCUUUUAUCUGGGAAGAAACCUACGAUUUCUAUUGUAGCUGACGGUACCAGAGGAAUAAGCACCGGCUAACUCCGUG
rnacentral:rRNA from 1 species